UACAGAGGUCUCAAGCGUUGUUCGGAUUCAUUGGGCGUAAAGGGUGCGUAGGUGGCGCGCUAAGUCAGGUGUGAAAUUUCGGAGCUUAACUCCGAAACUGCAUUUGAUACUGGCAUGCUUGAGGACUGGAGAGGAGACUGGAAUUCACGGUGUAGCAGUGAAAUGCGUAGAGAUCGUGAGGAAGACCAGUGGCGAAGGCGGGUCUCUGGACAGUUCCUGACACUGAGGCACGAAGGCCAGGGGAGCAAACGGGG
rnacentral:rRNA from 1 species